AUUGAACGCUGGCGGCAUGCCUUACACAUGCAAGUCGAACGGCAGCACGGGAGCAAUCCUGGUGGCGAGUGGCGAACGGGUGAGUAAAGUAUCGGAACGUGCCCAGUCGUGGGGGAUAACGUAGCGAAAGUUACGCUAAUACCGCAUACGAUCUAUGGAGUAAAGCGGGGGAUCGCAAGACAUCGCGCGAUUGGAGCGGCCGAUAUCAGAUUAGGUAGUUGGUGGGGUAAAGGCUCACCAAGCCGACGAUCUGUAGCUGGUCUGAGAGGACGACCAGCCACACUGGGACUGAGACACGGCCCAGACUCCUACGGGAGGCAGCAGUGGGGAAUUUUGGACAAUGGGCGAAAGCCUGAUCCAGCCAUGCCGCGUGCAGGAUGAAGGCCUUCGGGUUGUAAACUGCUUUUGUACGGAACGAAAAGGUUUGGGCUAAUAAGCUGAGCUCAUGACGGUACCGUAAGAAUAAGCACCGGCUAACUACGUGCCAGCCGCCGCGGUAA
rnacentral:rRNA from 1 species